rnacentral:rRNA from 1 species
AUUGAACGCUGGCGGCAUGCUUUACACAUGCAAGUCGAACGGCAGCGCGGAGAAGCUUGCUUCUCUGUCGGCGAGUGGCGAACGGGUGAGUAUAGCAUCGGAACGUGCCAAGUAGUGGGGGAUAACCAAACGAAAGUUUGGCUAAUACCGCGUAAGCUCUAAGGAGGAAAGUAGGGGACCUAAAUAAGGCCUUACGCUAUUUGAUCGGCCGAUGUCGGAUUAGCUAGUUGGUGGGGUAAUGGCUCACCAAGGCAAUGAUCCGUAGCGGGUCUGAGAGGACGAUCCGCCACACGGGGACUGAGACACGGCCCAGACUCCUACGGGAGGCAGCAGUGGGGAAUUUUGGACAAGGGGGGAAACCCUGAUCCAGCCAUGCCGCGUGUAUGAAGAAGGCCUUAGGGUUGUAAAGUACUUUUGUUAGGGAAGAAAAGCUAGUUUUUAAUAAAAAUUAGUGAUGACGGUACCUAAAGAAAAGCACCGGCUAACUACGUG